rnacentral:rRNA from 1 species
AUUGAACGCUCGCGGGAUGCCUUACACCUGCAAGUCGAACGGCGUGGCGAACGGGUGGGUAAUAUCUCGGAACGUGCCCAGUAACGGGGGAUCACUACGCGAAAGCGUAGCUAAUACCGCAUACUCUUGGAGCGGCCGAUAUCGGAAUAGCGAGUUUGUGGGGUAACGGCUCACCAAGGCCACGAUCCGUAGCUGGGUAGAGAGGACGACCAACAAGAGUGGGAAGGAGACACGGCACAGACUCCUACGGGAGGCAGCAGUGGGGAAUUUGGGAAAAUGGGGGAAGCCCUGAUCCAGCCAUCACGCGUGUGAGAUGAAGGCCUUCGGGUUGUAAAGCACUUAUGGCAGGAAAGCAGUACCUGCAGAAUAAGCACCGGCUAACUACGUGCCAGCAGCCGCGGUAAUUC